UUGAUUUUUCAGUUCCAGCUAGAGUUAUUCUAGUCCAUUGAUUUUUUCUGUUGCACCCCUACGUGAAGUUCUUUUGUUGACGUUUGUGAAUUGAUGGUGGAAAUUCCCCAGCAUAUUACGUCAUCAUUGCACAUCAUGACGUCACUGACUUAUCCAUGCAGUUCAUUCCAGUUCAUUAAUUAUUAAACAUUGUUUGGUCAGGGUCUACUGUCAUGAAUGAGGUUUGUUUGUGAUCUCUGAAAGACCAGUACAACACAAAACUGUCUCAUGAGAUGAACAGUUCUGAACGCUAAAGAAAUUGAAAAUAAUUAGCUAGGAUUUAAACACAUUCUCAUACUUUAAUGUUUUUGCGUUUUGUUUCAAUUUCAUGGGCAAUAGCUUGAACCUACAACCUAAAUCUUUACAUUCUUUUUUUUUUUUUAAGAUUUAUUUUUGACAUUUUUGCCUUUUUUUAUUUGAUAGGAUAGUAGUUAGACAGGAAACGAAGUUGGAGAGAGAGGGGGGACGGGACAGGGAAAGGUCCUGGGACUCGAACACGGGACGCCCGAAGCACAACGGCGCUACAUGUAGACGCGCUGCCCACGAGGCUUUUGGCGCAGACUACGUUCAUUCCUGAUGCUAAAUUUUGGAGAAACUCCACCAUUGAAUCACAACACUGAAUCAACUUGAAUGUGUGGUGGAACCUCUUGAGCAAAAGAAAAGCACUAAAAUAACUCUACUAGAAUAUUUUAUGGAACCUCCACUAUACCUGUGAAAGGAAGAAAGGGAGGCGACGCCAUACUGACAUGUGAAUACAAGGCCAGAGAGAUUUCAGAUAUUCGUUUCAUUCGUCACAGAAAACGCAUCCACUUUGCUGUCAUCCCUGUUUGUCCGAAUGAAGAACAUAAACGUGCGCGUGCCCGAGUAUGUAAUAAAGAAGCAUGUGACGUCGUCAUCAAGGAUCUGAUCUUCAGUGACGCUGGGAAAUACAUUUUUAGAUUCGAUUACAAAAAUGCUCCGACAGAGCUGGAGUACCAACUUUAUAUUUAUGAUGAGUUUUCUGUGAAAAUCAGUGAGAAGCUGAAGUUAGAUGUUCUGUUGUCUAAUGCUGAUAAAGUGCAGCAUCACAGCAGAAGAAGCACAGAGUGGAAGGAUGUCUGGAAGAGAGGCCAUGGUGUUCAAAAUGACCAGCUGAAUGACAGAGAUGGAAACCUGAUCAUCAAUAACUUUACAGCCAGUGAUGCAGGAAUUUACAGAGUUUUGGACUCUGAAGGAGAACUCUUGAUCACAGUGACUGUUGAAGAAUCUCCGGAAUCUCCAGAAACUCCAGGAUCAACGAACAGACCCAAGAGUGACGCUACACAAAACAAUCACUGGAUUGGACCAGCCAGGCAGCCUGUGUGUUUUUGGGUGGUUCUUUGGUGGCUCUGCCUCUUUUAAAAGAACAAGGAUACACCAAUGUCUAGAUGGAGGUCUGAGUAGGUACUACGUUUGAUGAAGAACUAUCGUCAUGACUGUUAAACAGUAUGUUCUAUAUGGCAUGAAUUUAAUCUAGAUGUGCUACAGCUGCCAUAUUGUCAUGUGAGCUAUGAUCCCGAAAGUAGUAGGUCAUCCAGGUACUUUUUGUCUGCUGUUUUAUGAGUACUACGCCCUAUCUGGACAGUAAUUAUUUCUCAUGGGGACGUAAUCCAAAAAUGUUCAGUUUACAGGGGUUAGACAGUGAUUUUAUUGCCGUCCGAAUCUAGAAUGUCAGUGUUUUUCUCCCACCACUUGUAUAACGAUUCCCUGACCAAAUAACCUGCUGUUUUUUUUUAACAAACAUAAAGGUCAUGUGGUAAUUUCACUGCCGUCCAAAUCCACAUCUCUGAGUUUACAAGAAGGGAUCAAUUCAAAAAUCACUGUAUAAAUUAUUUUUGACCACUGCUGAACACCGUACGGGAACUGUUGCGCUUCGCUGUGAUUUGCAUGCAUUUUAAAGAUGUACAUUUUUAUUACUGAAAUGCUGGAAAGUAUUUACAAACAAUAUUCAGUGCUCAGUGAGUUCACUUUGCUCAGGUGCACCAGUGCUCCUCCACAGCGAGUGGGAGCUGUUUACAAAUAAACAUUUCUGGCAUAUUUAUUUAUUUAUUUAUUUAAAUGGAUUAAUAGUGUGCUU